GCAGUCCUUCGGGACCGAGCGGCGGACGGGUUAGUAACGCGUGGGAACAUACCCCUUUCUACGGAAUAGCCUCGGGAAACUGAGAGUAAUACCGUAUAAGCCCUUCGGGGGAAAGAUUUAUCGGGAAGGGAUUGGCCCGCGUUAGAUUAGAUAGUUGGUGGGGUAAUGGCCUACCAAGUCUACGAUCUAUAGCUGGUUUUAGAGGAUGAUCAGCAACACUGGGACUGAGACACGGCCCAGACUCCUACGGGAGGCAGCAGUGGGGAAUCUUAGACAAUGGGCGCAAGCCUGAUCUAGCCAUGCCGCGUGUGUGAUGAAGGUCUUAGGAUCGUAAAGCACUUUCGCCAGGGAUGAUAAUGACAGUACCUGGUAAAGAAACCCCGGCUAACUCCGUGCCAGCAGCCGCGGUAAUACGGAGGGGGUUAGCGUUGUUCGGAAUUACUGGGCGUAAAGCGUACGUAGGCGGAUCAGAAAGUUAGGGGUGAAAUCCCGAGGCUCAACCUCGGAACUGCCUCUAAAACUCCUGGUCUUGAGUUCGAGAGAGGUGAGUGGAAUUCCAAGUGUAGAGGUGAAAUUCGUAGAUAUUUGGAGGAACACCAGUGGCGAAGGCGGCUCACUGGCUCGAUACUGACGCUGAGGUACGAAAGUGUGGGGAGCAAACAGGAUUAGAUACCCUGGUAGUCCACACCGUAAACGAUGAAUGCCAGUCGUCGGGCAGUA
rnacentral:rRNA from 1 species